rnacentral:rRNA from 1 species
GACGAACGCUGGCGGCGUGCCUAGCACAUGCAAGUCGAGCGGGGACUUAUGGAAUGAAGCUUCGGCAGAAUGAAGUAAGUUCUAGCGGCGGACGGGUGAGUAACGCGUGAGCAACCUGCCUAUCACUGGGGAAUAACGCAGCGAAAGUUGUGCUAAUACCGCAUGAGACCACAAUGUCGCAUGACGAAGAGGUCAAAGAUUUAUCGGUGAUAGAUGGGCUCGCGUCUGAUUAGCUAGUUGGUGAGGUAACGGCCCACCAAGGCGACGAUCAGUAGCCGACCUGAGAGGGUGAUCGGCCACAUUGGAACUGAGAAACGGUCCAAACUCCUACGGGAGGCAGCAGUGGGGAAUAUUGGGCAAUGGGGGCAACCCUGACCCAGCAACGCCGCGUGAAGGAAGAAGGUCUUCGGAUCGUAAACUUCUAUCCUUGGUGAAGAUAAUGACGGUAGCCGAGAAGGAAGCCCCGGCUAACUACGUGCCAGCCGCCGCAGUAAAAC